rnacentral:lncRNA from 1 species
AUGUUGGAUCCAGACUCAGCUGGAGCAGGACCAUCCUGGAGAGCAGGCAGCCAGCCGCCCCCAAGCAAGCAGCACCACAGCGUCAUGCGUACCUGCCCAACCUGCAUGGUUGUUUAUGUUCCACCCUUAAACUUCCCGAUGGCAGAUCCUGGAAACGAGACAGUGGACCAGAAAAGGGGACAUGACAUCCAUGUUGUGGGGAGCCAGGGCAGGCCUCCAAAGCAAGUCUCCUGCAGCCUGGGUGGGGGUGGGACAUUCAUCAAAAUCCAAAUAAUCCACACGGCUUCCAUCAUAACAAGCAAUCUCUGGAUGUAACACUUGAUUCUCAGAGGGAAAAAAGUAAACAAAUCACCCAGCUGCAAAACUAUACUUUUUAACAAAUUAUUAAGUAAACAAUUUGGAAGAGUUCUGCCAACCGUUCACUGGGAAAAAUGAAAAGGACUAGUAGGUUCCAGAUUUUUUUCCUUUUUAACAGCAGAGGACUCUUCUGUUUGUUUGUGUUAUGAAGAUGUAAUCGAGCUAGGUAUGUCCAGAGCACAGGCUGUCGCUCUGUUUCUCUUUUUCUGGGUUUGAGGCCUUUACUCUGUGUCACGGCUAUUUCAUAUUUCUAGGCUUUAACUGAUGACAAAUGACCGGUCAAACAACAUGAGCGUACACAGACAAAACAUCAGAUGGGACUCUGCGGCUUUAAGGAGGACAACUGUUUAGAGGUCCAAAAAUAUAUCCCCUGUUUGUACAGGGCUUAGGAAGGGUUGGGAGUAGGACUUAGCUCAUGCAAAGCAAAAGCACUAAAAGUUGAUAGAUAGGGAGACCUGGGUGGCUCCAUGGUUGAGCGUCUGUCUUCGGCUCAGGUUGCGAUCCUGGGAUCCUGGAAUUGAGUCCCGCAUCAGAUUCCCUGCAUGGAGCCUGCUUCUCCCUCUGCCUAUGUCUCUGCCUCUCUCUCUGCAUCUAUCAUGAACAAAUAAAUAAAAUCUUAAAAAGAAAAAAAGUUGAUAG